GUGGGGAAUAUUGCACAAUGGGGGAAACCCUGAUGCAGCCAUGCCGCGUGUGUGAAGAAGGCCUUCGGGUUGUAAAGCACUUUUGCAUUCGAGGAAGACGGCGUAUAAAUAAAUGCGCUAUUUGACGUUAGAGUGUGAAUAAGCACCGGCAAACUCCGUGCCAGCAGCCGCGGUAAUACGGAGGGUGCGAGCGUUAAUCGGAAUGACUGGGCGUAAAGGGCACGCAGGUGGCGAGAUAAGUUGGAUGUGAAAUUCCCGUGCUUAACAUGGGGACUGCAUCCAAAACUGUUGAACUGGAGUACUGUAGAGGGAGGUAGAAUUCCACGUGUAGCGGUGAAAUGCGUAGAGAUGUGGAAGAAUACCAGAGGCGAAGGCGGCCUCCUGGACAGAUACUGACACUGAGGUGCGAAAGCGUGGGUAGCAAACAGGAUUAGAAACCCUGGUAGUCC
rnacentral:rRNA from 1 species